rnacentral:rRNA from 1 species
GUGGGGGAUAUUGCACAAUGGGGGAAACCCUGAUGCAGCAACGCCGCGUGAAGGAAGAAGGUCUUCGGAUUGUAAACUUUUGUCUUGCGGGACGAAUAAUGACGGUACCGCAGGAGGAAGCCACGGCUAACUACGUGCCAGCAGCCGCGGUAAUACGUAGGUGGCGAGCGUUGUCAGGAAUUACUGGGUGUAAAGGGUGCGUAGGCGGAUUUGCAAGUCAGGUGUGAAAAUUAUCGGCUUAACCGGUAGCCUGCACUUGAAACUGUAAGUCUUGAGUGGUGAAGAGGUAAGCAGAAUUCCUAGUGUAGCGGUGAGAUGCGUAGAUAUUAGGAGGAACACCAGUGGCGAAGGCGGCUUACUGGGCACUAACUGACGCUGAGGCACGAAAGCAUGGGGAGCAAACAGGAUUAGAAACCCCUGUAGUCC